rnacentral:rRNA from 1 species
AUUGAACGCUGGCGGCAUGCUUUACACAUGCAAGUCGAACGGCAGCACGGGGGCAACCCUGGUGGCGAGUGGCGAACGGGUGAGUAAUAUACCGGAACGUACCCGGAAAUGGGGGAUAACGUAGCGAAAGUUACGCUAAUACCGCAUAUGCCCUAAGGGGGAAAGCGGGGGAUUCGCAAGAACCUCGCGUUUUCGGAGCGGCCGAUAUCGGAUUAGCUAGUAGGUGAGGUAAAGGCUCACCUAGGCGACGAUCCGUAGCUGGUCUGAGAGGACGACCAGCCACACUGGAACUGAGACACGGUCCAGACUCCUACGGGAGGCAGCAGUGGGGAAUUUUGGACAAUGGGCGCAAGCCUGAUCCAGCCAUGCCGCGUGAGUGAAGAAGGCC